AGGGGUAUAGCUCAGUGGUAGAGUGCAUGCUUAGCGUAUGCGAGGUCCUGGGUUCAAUUCCCAGUACCUCCA
rnacentral:tRNA from 1 species